GCGUCAGUGGUUUAGUGGUAAAAUCCAUCGUUGCCAUUCCUGAAUAUCAGGAUCAACUUCGAUGGGCCCCGCGUUCGAUUCGCGGCUGACGCA